rnacentral:rRNA from 1 species
GAUGAACGCUGGCUACAGGCUUAACACAUGCAAGUCGAGGGGAAACGACGGGGAAGCUUGCUUCCCCGGGCGUCGACCGGCGCACGGGUGAGUAACGCGUAUCCAACCUGCCUCUGACUGAGGGAUAACCCGUCGAAAGUCGGCCUAAUACCUCAUGGCAUCGUCUGCGGGCAUCCAACGACGAUUAAAGAUUUCAUCGGUCAGGGAUGGGGAUGCGUCUGAUUAGCUUGUUGGCGGGGUAACGGCCCACCAAGGCUACGAUCAGUAGGGGUUCUGAGAGGAAGGUCCCCCACAUUGGAACUGAGACACGGUCCAAACUCCUACGGGAGGCAGCAGUGAGGAAUAUUGGUCAAUGGGCGAGAGCCUGAACCAGCCAAGUAGCGUGCAGGAUGACGGCCCUAUGGGUUGUAAACUGCUUUUAUGCGGGGAUAAAGUGAGGGACGUGUCCUUCAUUGCAGGUACCGCAUGAAUAAGGACGGGCUAAGUCGUAACAAGG